UACCUUGUUGCUUCGGCGGGCCCGCCUUAACUGGCCGCCGGGGGGCUUACGCCCCCGGGCCCGCGCCCGCCGAAGACACCCUCGAACUCUGUCUGAAGAUUGUAGUCUGAGUGAAAAUAUAAAUUAUUUAAAACUUUCAACAACGGAUCUCUUGGUUCCGGCAUCGAUGAAGAACGCAGCGAAAUGCGAUACGUAAUGUGAAUUGCAAAUUCAGUGAAUCAUCGAGUCUUUGAACGCACAUUGCGCCCCCUGGUAUUCCGGGGGGCAUGCCUGUCCGAGCGUCAUUUCUGCCCUCAAGCACGGCUUGUGUGUUGGGCCCCGUCCUCCGAUCCCGGGGGACUGGCCCGAAAGGCAGCGGCGGCACCGCGUCCGGUCCUCGAGCGUAUGGGGCUUUGUCACCCGCUCUGUAGGCCCGGCCGGCGCUUGCCGAUCAACCCAAAUUUUUAUCCAGGUUGACCUCGGAU
rnacentral:rRNA from 1 species